rnacentral:rRNA from 1 species
UACGUAGGGGGCAAGCGUUGUCCGGAAUUAUUGGGCGUAAAGCGCACGUAGGCGGAUUGUUAAGUCAGGGGUGAAAUCCUGGAGCUCAACUCCAGAACUGCCUUUGAUACUGGCGAUCUCGAGUCCGGGAGAGGUGAGUGGAACUGCGAGUGUAGAGGUGAAAUUCGUAGAUAUUCGCAAGAACACCAGUGGCGAAGGCGGCUCACUGGCCCGGUACUGACGCUGAGGUGCGAAAGCGUGGGGAGCAAACAGG